rnacentral:rRNA from 1 species
UUGGGAAUUUUGCACAAUGGGCGAAAGCCUGAUGCAGCAACACUGCGUGAAGGAAGAAGAUUUUCGGAUUGUAAACUUCUUUUAUUGAGGAAUAAUCUUGAAGGUACUCGAUGAAUAAGCGCCGGCUAACUACGUGCCAGCAGCCGCGGUAAUACGUAGGGCGCGAACAUUACCCGAAUUUAUUGGGCGUAAAGAGCUCGUAGGUGGCUUUUUAAGUUGGAUAUUAAAUGUCUCGGCUCAACCGAGGAACCGUAUCCAAAACUGGGAAGCUAGAGGUGUGCAGGGGAAGAUGGAACUUACGGUGUAGCAGUGAAAUGCGUAGAUAUCGUAAGGAACGCCAAUGGUGAAGACAGUCUUCUAGGCACAACCUGACACUGAGGAGCGAAAGCGUGGGUAGCGAACGGG